rnacentral:Y_RNA from 1 species
GGCUGGUCUGAGUGUAGUGGUGUUUACAACUAAUUGAUCAUAACCAGUUACAGAUUUUUUAUUUCUUCUCAACUUCUAAUAUGUCACUUGAUUAGCCUUAA